GUAGGCGGCAAGCGUUGUCCGGAAUUAUUGGGCGUAAAGCGCGCGCAGGCGGGUUCUUUAAGUCUGAUGUGAAAGCCCACGGGCUCAACCGUGGAGGGUCAUUGGAAACUGGAGAACUUGAGUACAGAAGAGGAAAGCGGAAUUCCACGUGUAGCGGUGAAAUGCGUAGAGAUGUGGAGGAACACCAGUGGCGAAGGCGGCUUUCUGGUCUGUAACUGACGCUGAGGCGCGAAAGCGUGGGGAGCAAACAGGAUUAGAUACCCUGGUAGUCCACGCCGUAAACGAUGAGUGCUAAGUGUUAGGGGGUUUCCGCCCCUUAGUGCUGCAGCUAACGCAUUAAGCACUCCGCCUGGGGAGUACGACCGCAAGGUUG
rnacentral:rRNA from 1 species